CAUCCUCCAAGGCUAAAUACUCCUGACUGACCGAUAGUGAACCAGUACCGUGAGGGAAAGGCGAAAAGAACCCCGGCGAGGGGAGUGAAAAAGAACCUGAAACCGUGUACGUACAAGCAGUGGGAGCCCCACCACUAAGCCAGUGGUGAACUCCACAUACGCAUCCUUUGCUGAGGAUACGGUUAACGGAGCGCAAGCGACGUUCAACCUCAAAAGAAGCAGAGGGGGCUUAGUGGUGGGGUGACUGCGUACCUUUUGUAUAAUGGGUCAGCGACUUAUAUUCUGUAGCAAGGUUAACCGAAUAGGGGAGCCGGAGGGAAACCGAGUCUUAAUUGGGCGUUAAGUUGCAGGGUAUAGACCCGAAACC
rnacentral:rRNA from 1 species